ensembl:lncRNA
UUCAUCAUGCAUUACCCUAUUUUCAGAAGUUUAUCCUGUUAUCUACUUAGUAGAGUAUUAUGCCGUGUAAAUGUGCUUCUUAGCAAUUGCUUGCAACAUUUAAGUCUUUAGAUGCAUUCUAUGCUUGAAGAAUUGCUGUUUCUGCUCUAACACCGUGCUAAUUCUCCGCAGAAAUUGUCCUUGUGGUGUACAGAUAGGCCCAUUCAUUAUGCCCCUUGGAAGUAAAGGAUCAGGAUGGGAGCAGUGUUGCAGCUCCAGUACUUAUCGGUCAUGGUUGUGCCCACAGAGCCUGCUUGGUGCAUCUGCUUCUCCUUGGGGGCAAGACAUUACCCCAGUGCCAUUCUCUGAUGUGUAAGUCUUCCCCCAUCUUUCCCUAGCUGAUGAGUAAUGGCCUUAAGUUGUGCCAGGGGAGUUUCAAGUUGAAUAUUAAGAAACAUUUCUUCUCAGAAGGAGCGGUGAGGGACUGGCACAGCUGUCCCCGGAGGUGGUGGGGUCACUGAUCAUGGGGAUGUUCUAUAGCCAUGGAGAUGUGGCACUGAGGGACAUGGGUUCAUUGCUUUCAGCAAGCUCUGUUCUUGCCUUUCAGUGGGACCAUUACCACAGUGCAACCUGUCCUUGCUUUGAGCUGCUCUGCCCCACUGAGCGAUCUGGUUCAGCUCAGAGCUUGGGCUUCUCCACUUUUAUUUCCCUGCUCUGUCUCCUUUCCUAUCUCUGGGAGCUUUGAAUUUCUACCCCUGCCUCACAGCUUGGGUAAUUCCCUGCAAAGGGAUUACAUUUUCAGCGUGUUCACAGCUGUAUGUUUGCUCGGAGCAAGUGCCUCCUGUGACUGCCCAAUUGUGGAGUUUCACUCGAGUGGAACAAGUAAUAAGAGAAAUAUGCAGCUCUCCCUGCCUUCAUUGAGCUUCUUAGGUGGCCAGGAGCAAACAGCGUGCCUCCCUCCUGCAAAGCACUUAACUGGGACCUGGGGCUGUGGGAUUGGAGCUAGCUUUCAGACCCGAAGCCAUGGCCAUGGAAAGGCAGUUUGAAGGAACCUUGAAAAUGAAGUUAUCAUCACCGCUUGCCCUACUGGGACCACUCCAGAUGAUAGCCCAAUGGGUGCAACCUGCUCGAGGUGACACAUAGUCUUGCUUCAAACCCCUGAGUUUAACUGGAACAUUGGCAGAAUAAUGUGAGUCCAUGGAAAUCAAUGGAGAAGAGCCGAAAACAAUUGAUUUGGAUCAAAACACACUGCAAUCAAAUUUGGAGGGAUUGAACUAAUGGAUCAUAAGGUGGCUUGUGAAUGGGUUUGACUGAAUUGAGCUGAAAGGUCUUGCAUCUUCAUUACAGCUAACUGAAACUAGUAUAAAUGAUGAAUUUUCUAACAAUGCUUAGUGGUUUGUUUUUUUUUCUGUACUUGCAACUGGAUUGCAAAGUUGGGAACUAACCUGUAUAUACAGGGGAAUUUGCCAGUCACAGGUAGCUGCAUGUAUUUUGGACAGCCCCGUAGCUGAGUUUCAUACGUCUUGCUGAUUAUGCCUCUAUUUUGCCCUGCUUGGCACUCCCAGAAUUAGCAGCCUGUUUCUCCUGCUUUAUUAUGGCUGAGGUCUCGGAGGAGAGACUGCACUUGGGCUGUGCACUUUCCAAGGUGCAUUUAUUGCUGCAUUUCUUGUUUUGAUGGCAGCAUUUUGGAGCAUCACCUCUUACUCUACCAAAUCCUUGAAAUUCUUUGCCAUUUGUAUUACUCGAAUGUAAUUCCCCUCUAUAUCACAG